UUCACCAUGUUUAUUUUCAAGAUCCAUGCCAGAGAGAGAUCUUUGACUCUUGUGGGAAUCCCAUUGAAGUUGAUUUCUACACAGAUCUCUUCUGAGCUGCUGUGCCCAGUGGUGUCUCAACUGUAUCUACAAGGCCCUGGAGCUCUGGUACAAUAAAACACGCUGCAUGGGGAAGGGCGUCUCAAAGGUUGUUGAGCACAUCAAUAAAACUAUUGCACCUGCUCUGGUUAGCAAGAAACUAAACGUUGUAGAACAGAAGAUCGACAAACUGGUGAUUGAAAUGAAUAGGACUGAAAAUAAAUCUAAGUUUGACUUGAAUGCCAUCUUGGGAAUAUCCCUGGCUGUCUGCGAAGCUGGUGCUAUAGAGAAGGGCAUGCCCCUGUACCAACACAUUGCUGACCCAGCUGGGAGCCCCGAAGUCAUCUUGCCCAUCCCGGCUUUCAACAUGAUCAACUGCGGUUCUCACACUGGCAACAAGCUGGCCACGCAGGAGUUCAUGAUCCUCCCUGGGGGUGCUUCCACCUUCUGGGAAGCCAUGUGCAUUGGAGCAGAGGUUGACCACAACCUGAAGAAUGUCGUCAAGGAGAAAUAUGGGAAAGAUGCCACCAAUGUAGAUGAUGAAGGCAGGUCUGUGCCCAACGUCCCGGAGAACAAAGAAGCCGUGGAACUGCUCAAGAACGCAACUGGGAAGGUUGGCUACACUGACAAGGUUGUCAUUGACAUGGAUGUAGCUGCCUCUGAGUUCUUCAGGUCUGGCAAAUACGACCUGGACUUCAAGUCUCCUGAUGACCCCAGCGGGUACAUCACACCUGACCAGUUGGCUGACCUGUAUAAGUCCUUCAUCUGAGACUAUCCAGUGAUGUCCAUCGAGGACCCCUUUAACCACGAUGACUGGGAAGCUUGGCAGAAGUUCAUAACUAGUCCAGGCAUCCAGGUUGUUGGGGACGAUCUCACAGUGACCAACCCAAAGGAGAUUGCCAAGGCCGUGGGCAAGAAGUCCUGCAACUCCCUCCUGCUCAAAGUGAACCAUAUUGGCUCUGUGAACGAGUCUCUGCAGGCAUGCAAGCUGGCCUAGUCUAAUGGUUGGGGCAUCAUGGUGUACCAUAGCUCUGUGGAGAUUGAGGAUACCUUCAUUGCUAACCUGAUGGUGUGGCUCUGCACUGGGCAGAUUAAGACUGGUGUGCCUUGCCGAUCUGAGUGUCUGGCCAAGUACAAUCAGAUCCUCAAAAUCGAGGAGGAACUGGGCAGCAAGGCUAAGUUUGCCUGCAGGUCCUUCAGAAACCCCUCUGGCCCUCAGUCAUCACCGACUGCAUAG